GCGCUGACUUCCGCAGCACAUAUACGAACACUGGAGGGAUGCAGAGAAGAUUAGCACAGCCCCUGCGCAAGGAUGACAGGCAAAUUCGUGAAGCGGUCCAUAUGUUU